CGGCGGACGGGUGAGUAACGCGUGGGUAACCUACCCUGUACACACGGAUAACAUACCGAAAGGUAUGCUAAUACGGGAUAAUAUAUUUGAGAGGCAUCUCUUGAAUAUCAAAGGUGAGCCAGUACAGGAUGGACCCGCGUCUGAUUAGCUAGUUGGUAAGGUAACGGCUUACCAAGGCGACGAUCAGUAGCCGACCUGAGAGGGUGAUCGGCCACAUUGGAACUGGGACACGGUCCAA
rnacentral:rRNA from 1 species